ensembl:lncRNA
GUGCCAUUUUGUCCAGUCCAGGGGUGUUAAACUCGUCUCAGUCCAGGCUCCACGUGGGCCGGAAAAGUAAAAUCGCAGCAUAAUGCCCGAUAAAAAAACCACGACUCACACUUUUCCCCCUUUGAUUUAGUGCAACAAAACUAAAACGAAGACAAAAGUCAGGCGAAAAAUCAACAAAAACAAGAAAAUAUUGGACGAAUUUCGAAUGAGUUUUAGUCAUUUGGGCCAUUCAGAAAAAUAUUUUUGACAAGAUUUAUGUCAUUUUAGGGUAAUUUUGAGAACGUAGUCAUCAAGGAAACAGUGACUUCAUUUUUAACACAUUUGAGUCACUAUAGACUUUUUCUGUCAUUUUGGAUAAACUUGAGUCAUUUUGGACAGAUUUCAUCUAAUUUUGGACAUGAAUUUUAGACAAGCUCUAGUCAUUUUGGACACAUUUUGGGUCUAGGUUUGUGUAUUUGCAGUGAUGUGUGCAGCUAGAAACAGAAUGGUCACACAUUCCAUGUUUUUGCACCUGUUUAUCUACAAAGGCACAAAAUAUUCAGUCCCAGCUCUCCGGAACUGAAAGUCGAAAAAAAAACCCAAAAAAACAAACUAUUACAAAAACGAAACACGAAGCGAUUAAAAACAAAUGGAGGAACGACACAAGUGAGACAAAAAACGAGAAACAAGCGACAAGUCGGACGAAAAAAACGAGAAAAUAUUACAUAAAUGAGGCACAAAAUGACAAAUGAACAAUCUAGUAUUUUACUUUGAUGAAAAUAGCUUGUCAUGGUCUAGAAAUUAUUUAAAAUUUACGGUUUUGCAAUUUACAAUUCACAGUUAACGCUUGUGUCGUCCUCUGGGUCAAAAUUGAUCCGUUUUAAAGUUUGAAAAUGUGGAGAAAAAAAAUAUUUUCACAGUGAAACUUCUGAUGUCCACAUUUUUGCAAAAUCUGAACAUUUUUUGGUGGAAAAAAAUGUUAAAAAUGUUUCUUAAGAACAUUCGCAUAAAAAUUUUUUAUGUGAAUGAUCUUAAAGAAAAUAGAAGUUUUACUGAUGUAUAUGGAAUCACUAGAUAUUUUUAGGAUUUUUUUGGAAGAUUUUUACUCAUUUUUUGAAAAUAUUUACAAGAAUUUUCUUGCCAAAUUUGGGGAAUUUUUUUAAAAAAUAAAACUUUAGGGAAACUUUUAAGGAAUUAUUGGAAUUUUCUUACUGAAAGUUUAGCAAAUGUUCAGAAAUUUGUGGAAUUCUUUUGCUGAAUGUUUGGAUUUUUUUCAGACAAGGAAACAAUAUUUCUUUUGGUGCCCAUAAAUGAGGACAACAGGAGGGUUAAUAUCUUCUCUGAAUUUUUUUCUUUUAACCUUUUGCAAAGUCGUCCCGCGGGCCAUAAUGGACCAUGUGGCGGGCUGGUUUUGUCCCGCGGUCCGCAUGUUUGACACCCCUGGAUUGGACGACGUUUUAAGAACCACAAAUGCCUAGAAAAGAAAAGUGCAUAACUCCAGCGUAGCAUGCUUAGGUUUUUAAUGUCCAACAUGAGCAUGUGGAAUGCUAGUAGUGGAAGAAGCUCAGCAUUGAUCUUUCUGUUGUUGUUGAAAGGCUGUUGAUAUUUAAGGUUGGAGAGCAAAUCUCUCUCUAUAUAUAUUAUCUAUUUUUUGACUGCAUUGUUCACUGAUGGCAAACAGUGCGAUUAUAUCUGAUCUUUGCAGUGUCGUCCCAGACCUUGCACCUUAGGUUCUGCUGCCGUAACACAGUGUUGGAGGAUGCUGCAGGCUUUAGGUCGUAGAAUCAGGCCGUGUCGUAGUUUGGAAUCCUUUAUCCCCCACUGCUGAACGUAGACCGUUCAAGAGCUCCAGUGAUAAGGUAACAAAACAGCAACGCAAAUGAAAUUCAAAUUCUGUCAAGUGUUGGUCAGAUGAAUGUGUUUCUAGCUGGGAUUGUUGUGUUUUUAAGAUGGUUUCUCUGCCUUCAUGAAUAACUUCUAGUCAUAAACAGUAAUGUGCUUUAGAAAGUUGGACGAGGACAGGAUCUGACAUGCUUUCCUUGCAGUUAAUUUGGGAUUAAAACAAAAGGUCAGACUGUUUGUUUGAGAUGCUCGAGGGUGUAGAAGACUAAACAAGGAGCAUGCCUUAGAGUCAAAUAGAUUUCAUGUCGAUGCUGUGUAAAUAUCGGUUUGUUUCUUCAAUUUACUUUUCUGACUUCUGAAAUGUCACCAUGUUCAUUAAUAAAGUUGUAACUAAUAAACUGGACUCGUGUCGUCGA